GACGAACGCUGGCGGCAUGCUUAACACAUGCAAGUCGAACGAAGUGGCGCACGGGUGAGUAACGCGUAAUCAACCUGCCCUUCAGAGGGGAACAACAGGUGGAAACGACUGCUAAUACCGCAUACUGAAGGAGGAGAUUGCGUCUGAUUAGCUAGUUGGAGGGGUAACGGCCCACGAAGGCGAUGAUCAGUAGCCGGUCUGAGAGGAGCGACGGCCACAAUGGGACUGAGGCACGGCCCAGACCCCUACGGGAUGCAGCAGGGGGGCAUCUUCCGCAAUGGACGAAAGUCUGACGGAGCAACGCCGCGUGAGUGAUGACGGCCUUCGGGUUGUAAAGCUCUGUUAAUCGGGGCGCGGUACCGGAAUAGAAAGCCACGGCUAACUACGUGCCAGCAGCCGCGGUAAUUC
rnacentral:rRNA from 1 species